AAGUAUUGUACUAGAAAACAUUGUAAAUGUAUGCCUAUUUAAACUUCAAGUAUAUGUAACACUUUCAAAGUCAUAAGUGUAAAACUAUUAUAUUUAAGAUGUUUUGAGUUUAUAAAAAUAAACAACUUAACACUUCUACUCAGACGUUAAAAAAUAAAAAACAAACAUAUUAUUCUAAUAUAUACAUUCAUACCCACUUAGACUCAUUCAAGUUUAAGAUAUAAAAAAAAAAAAAGUGCUACCUAGAAAUCCUUAAUAGCAAGUCUUGUCUUUUAUUUCAUUAAGGGUAAAAUCCUAAAUGUGGCAAAUGGCGUGUUAUAAGAAUUUUUGAGGGGUGCCAAAUGCCCAAUUCAUUCAUAUUAGGCUUCUGAAAGAAGGCCCAUUCAUUCACGACUUCGGGUCGCCCACCUGCUUGAAUCCGUUUGUGUUUUUAACGUUGCAAGUAUACCCAUGUAAGUAAAAACAAACAAAUUAACAAAUAUACGUGUAAUGUAUCUGUUAAAAAAAAAUCGAUUAA
rnacentral:lncRNA from 1 species